rnacentral:rRNA from 1 species
UACGUAGGGUGCGAGCGUUGUCCGGAAUUACUGGGCGUAAAGAGUUCGUAGGCGGUUUGUCGCGUCGUCUGUGAAAACCCAUCGCUCAACGAUGGGCCGGCAGGCGAUACGGGCAGACUUGAAUACUGCAGGGGAGACUGGAAUUCCUGGUGUAGCGGUGAAAUGCGCAGAUAUCAGGAGGAACACCGGUGGCGAAGGCGGGUCUCUGGGCAGUAACUGACGCUGAGGAACGAAAGCGUGGGUAGCAAACAGG